rnacentral:rRNA from 1 species
CACGUAGGGUGCAAGCGUUGUCCGGAUUUAUUGGGCGUAAAGGGCUCGUAGGCGGUUCGACAAGUCGGGUGUGAAACCUCCAGGCUCAACCUGGAGUCGCCACUCGAAACUGUUGUGACUAGAGUCCGGUAGGGGAGCAUGGAAUUCCUGGUGUAGCGGUGGAAUGCGCAGAUAUCAGGAGGAACACCAGUGGCGAAGGCGAUGCUCUGGGCCGGUACUGACGCUGAGACGCGAAAGCGUGGGGAGCGAACAGG